AGGGCACCACCAGGAGUGGAGCCUGCGGCUUAAUUUGACUCAACACGGGGAAACUUACCCGGCCUGGACACUGGAAGGAUUGACAGAUUGAGAGCUCUUUCUUGAUUCAGUGGGUGGUGGUGCAUGGCCGUUCUUAGUUGGUGGAGCGAUUUGUCUGGUUAAUUCCGAUAACGAACGAGACUCUAGCCUAUUAAAUAGGCUCCCGGCUUUUAAACGCCGGGAGGACUUCUUAGAGGGACAGGUGGCGGUUCAGCCGCACGAAAGAGAGCAAUAACAGGUCUGUGAUGCCCUUUGUUGUCCGGGGCCGCACGCGCGCUACACUGAAGAGAUCAGCGUGCUUUACGUUCCUGCUCCGACCGGAGUGGGGAACCCAGUGAACCUUCUUCGUGAUUGGGAUAGAAGAUUGUAGUUAUUCUUCUUGAACGAGGAAUUCCCAGUAAAUGCGAGUCAUAAGCUCGCGUUGAUUACGUCCCUGCCCUUUGUACACACCGCCCGUCGCUACUACCGAUUGAACGAUUU
rnacentral:rRNA from 1 species